rnacentral:misc_RNA from 1 species
CAACCCUCAAGCCCUGCUUGGUGUUGGGGCCCUACGGCUGCCGUAGGCCCUGAAAGGAAGUGGCGGGCUCGCUACAACACCGAGCGUAGUAAUUCAUUAUCUCGCUAGGGACGUUGCGGCGCGCUCCUGCCGUUAAAGACCAUCUUUAACUCAA